ensembl:lncRNA
AAAGCAGUGCACAGUGGGCUCAUUGUGAUCAGGGCAAAAAAACAAAACAAAGACUUUGUACCUUAAACCAAAUGUUUAUUUUUGUUGACAAUGCUGACAUUCAUUUACAUUAAAUUUAAAAAAAAAAAAAAAAAAAAAAAAAAAAGUACAUUUUCCUUUCACUCUGUUGAAGAUGUCAUAUGUUCAGGACCGCAUGAAGUCCAGUUUUGAAACUAUCCAAACACUGAUUCCUGAAGCCCGUACGAUUCAUGCGUCACACAUGGAUCCGUUUCAUGCUCACAGACAGUAAAGUGGCUCUACAGACAGCAGAUGAAAGAAUCUCCAGCAUCAGAGAGAAAUGUUUUUCUAUCCCGAUUUGACGAUGACAGAUGUUUGGUUUUUUUGCACAGGCUAAUGAAAGAGCUCUGCUGUGUUUACACAUUAAGUACUAAUUGUACAGCAAAAAUGAAGUGAGGGAUCAAGCAAAAAACAAACAGGGUACUGUAACAGGACAUGCAAAUGGAGGUUUAUACAUUUAAGUGAGCCAAGACGAAAAACUUGGAAUCAGUAAACCUGCUGAUUAUACAGUAUGUGCUGUUUGAGAUCGUCAGGACAGUGAAACAGAAACACUAUUCUUCAAGUAGAAACGAGCAAAAGUACCCCCCCACACGCAUCUAAAAACAAACGGCCAAAUUCUUACAAUGUAAUAUUCAAAAAGAAAGUCUAAGAAUAAAUUAGACAUCAAAACUUACAAAACAAUUAAAAAAAGGUGGUGCUUUUUAUACAAAACAUCUUAAACCAGCUUCACCUCAUGCAUGCAGCUGUUUGGUGUGCACACUUACUCUUUAUCUCUACAGGAACACCUCAGUAAAUGCACGAGAAGACAAAGUAAAAACAAAAAGUGAGAUUGUAAACCAUCUACUGUAAAAUAUUAAAAGCAGCCACUUAAAAACGCAUGGAAUAACAGCUACGAUCAUGCUGACAUGUCUGUUUUGCUGCUUGAACUCAAGGCACUGAAUGAAUUAAAAGCCACAAAGAGAAGAGGAAAAAAAAAAGCCGAAGAAAUGAAAUCUUUUGGUCUUCUCUGUUCUGUCAAUAUCACUGUUAUGAGUAUCGUACGCAGUAACUGCAGGCUAACUACACAUUUAACAUUUACCGUGUUCUGCUAAUCCUCCUAAUUAGGGAUUGGGAGGAUCCCACAGGUUGAGGAUAUGUUUUCUGAUCAGUGCUAUAAAUGGAAAACAAACAUGGAAUAUUG